UAAUCAUAAAACUGCCCCCUGGUGGCGAAUAUGUGUUUCGCUUCAUCCUUGCAUUACGGUGGAGUGGGCGGAGCCUCGUGAAUGACGGUUAUUUUUUUCAAACGAGGAAGUGAAGUCAAGUCCGCCAUUUCAUCUUCUUCUUUAUAUCGGAAAAGAAAGGAAUCAUGCAAGGAUGCAAGCUGAAGGAAAGGACAACUCUCACAUCAGUGCAUUACUUAUUGUUUGACUUCAUCAUCAAGCACACCAGCUCAGAUUGUGAUGGACCGGGAAUGCGACACCAGUUACUCUUAAGUCAAGAACCAAAAGAAGCACCAGAGUACAGAUUAUGGAGGUAUCUGAAGUUGAACUAACUGGAAGCAGGGAACCAUACUAAUAAAGUUCCUUUAGCAGGUUCCUUGUUAAGAUGAACCCAGGGAAGAAUCGAAAGUGGAGAAGACCAGAUCAAGAAAGACUACAUCAAGAUCUGCAGUCAGUUCAAAGGAUGUUUUGCAUUGGACUGUUUUUUUUUUUGGGAUUUGACCCUUGCUCGCCCCUGAACUCACUCUUGGACUGCCCUGUUGGAUUUUCAGUUUAUUUUAUUUAUUUAUUUAUUUUUUUUGUUUUGGGUAGAUGCUAAUAAAUAUUUAGUUG